AUUGAACGCUGGCGGCAUGCUUUACACAUGCAAGUCGAACGGCAGCGCGGGCUUCGGCCUGGCGGCGAGUGGCGAACGGGUGAGUAAUGCAUCGGAACGUGCCCAGUAGUGGGGGAUAGCCCGGCGAAAGCCGGAUUAAUACCGCAUACGACCUGAGGGUGAAAGCGGGGGACCGAAAGGCCUCGCGCUAUUUGAGCGGCCGAUGUCGGAUUAGCUAGUUGGUGGGGUAAAGGCUUACCAAGGCGACGAUCCGUAGCUGGUCUGAGAGGACGACCAGCCACACUGGGACUGAGACACGGCCCAGACUCCUACGGGAGGCAGCAGUGGGGAAUUUUGGACAAUGGGGGCAACCCUGAUCCAGCCAUGCCGCGUGCGGGAAGAAGGCCUUCGGGUUGUAAACCGCUUUUGUUAGGGAAGAAAUACUGUGGGCUAAUACCCCGGGGGGAUGACGGUACCGGAAGAAUAAGCAACGGCUAACUACGUG
rnacentral:rRNA from 1 species